rnacentral:rRNA from 1 species
GAAAGAUUCAUCGGAAGAGGAUGGGCAUGCGGCGCAUUAGCUAGACGGCGGGGUAACGGCCCACCGUGGCGACGAUGCGUAGGGGUUCUGAGAGGAAGGUCCCCCACACUGGUACUGAGACACGGACCAGACUCCUACGGGAGGCAGCAGUGAGGAAUAUUGGUCAAUGGGAGAGAUCCUGAACCAGCCAAGCCGCGUGAGGGAAGACGGCCCUAUGGGUUGUAAACCUCUUUUGUCGGAGAACAAAACCCGGGACGUGUCCCGGACUGCGUGUAUCCGAAGAAAAAGCAUCGGCUAACUCCGUGCCAGCAGCCGCGGUAAUACGGAGGAUGCGAGCGUUAUCCGGAUUUAUUGGGUUUAAAGGGUGCGUAGGCGGUCCGUUAAGUCAGCGGUAAAAUUGCGGGGCUCAACCCCGUCGAGCCGUUGAAACUGGCAGACUUGAGUUGGCGAGAAGUACGCGGAAUGCGCGGUGUAGCGGUGAAAUGCAUAGAUAUCGCGCAGAACUCCGAUUGCGAAGGCAGCGUACCGGCGCCAGACUGACGCUGAGGCACGAAAGCGUGGGGAUCGAACAGGAUUAGAUACCCUGGUAGUCCACGCAGUAAACGAUGAAUGCUGGUUGUCCGGGUCGAAUGAGAUCUGG